GACGAACGCUGGCGGCGUGCUUAACACAUGAAAGUCGAACGAAGUGGCGAACGGGUGAGUAACGCGUAAUCAACCUGCCCUUCAGGGGGGGACAACAGUUGGAAACGACUGCUAAUACCGCAUACUGGAGGAGGGGAAGGAGUGUGAUUAGCUGGUUGGAGGGGUAAAGGCCCACCAAGGCGAUGAUACGUAGCCGGUCUGAUAGGGUGAGCGGCCACAUUGGGACUGAGACACGGCCCAGACUCCUACUGGAGGCAGCAGUGGGGAAUCUUCCGCAAUGGACGAAAGUCUGACGGAGCAACGCCGCGUGAGUGAUGACGGCCUUCGGGUUGUAAAGCUCUGUUAAUCGGGACGCGGUACCGGAAUAGAAAGCCACGGCUAACUACGUGCCAGCAGCCGCGGUAAUAC
rnacentral:rRNA from 1 species